rnacentral:rRNA from 1 species
AUGAACGCUAGCGGCAGGCCUAAUACAUGCAAGUUCGAGGGGCAGCAUGGGUAGCAAUACCUGAUGGCGACCGGCAAAACGGGUGCGGAACACGUACGCAACCUUCCUUUUAAGCGGGGAAUAGCCCAGAGAAAUUUUGGAUUAAUACCCCAUAGGAAUGUAGUCUCGCAUGAGACAGCAUUUAAAGAUUUAUCACUUGAAAGAUGGGCGUGCGUCUGAAUUAGGUAGUUGGUGAGGGUAAACGGCUCACCAAAGCCGACGAUCAGUAAACUGGCGUGAGAGGCGCGACCAGUCACACGGGCACUUGAGACACGGGCCCGACUCCUACGGGAGGGCAGCAGUAAAGGAAUAUUGGUCAAUGGAACGCAAGUCUUGAACCAGCCAUUGCCGCGUGGAGGAUGAAGGCCCUCUGGGUUGUAAACUUCUUUUUAUUUGGGACGAAAACACUUCUUUUUUCUAAGGGAGCUUGACGGUUACCAGAUGAAUAAGCCACCGGCUAAACUCCCGUGCCAGGCAGCCGCGGUAAUACGGAGGGUGCAAGCGUUUAUCCGGAUUCACUGGGUUUUAUUAAAGGGUGCGUAGGCGGACUUGUAAGUCCGUGGUGAAAUCUCCGAGCUUAACCUCGGAAACUGCCAUGGAUACUAUGAGUCUUGAAUGUUGUGGAGGUUAGCGGAAUAGUUCAUGUAGCGGUGAAAUGCUUAGAUAUGACCUAGAACACCAAUUGCGAAGGCAGCUGGCUACACAAUAAUUGACGCUGAGGCACGAAAAGCGUGGGGAUCAAACAGGAUUAGAUACCCCUGGUAGUCCACGCCCCCUAAACGAUGAUUACUCGACAUUUGCGAUAUAUUGUAAGUGUCCUGAGCGAAAGCAUAUAAGUAAUCCACCUGGGAAGUACGACCGCAAGGUUGAAAACUCAAAGGAAUUGACGGGGGGUCCGCCACAAGCGGUGGAGCACGUGGUUUUAAUUCGAUGAUACGCGAGGAACCUUACCUGGGCUAGAAUGCAAUUUGACCGGCCCUGAAAGGGGUUUUUUUUGUAGCAAUACACAGAUUUGUAAGGUUGCUGCAUGGCUGUCGUCCAGCUCGUGCCGUGAGGUGUUGGGUUAAGUCCCCGCAACGAGCGCAACCCCUAUCACUAGUUGCCAGCACGUAAUGGUGGGAACUCUAAGUGAAAACUGCCGUCGUAAGACGCGAGGAAGGAGGGGAUGAUGUUCAAGUCCAUCAUGGCCUUUAUGCCCAGGGCUACCACACGUGCUACAAUGGUAGAGACAAAGGGCUGCUACCUGGUAACAGGUUGCUAAUCUCAAAAACUCUAUCUUCAGUUCGGAUUGAGGUCUGCAACUCGACCUCAUGAAGCUGGAAUCGCUAGUAAUCGUAUAUCAGCAAUGAUACGGUGAAUACGUUCCCGGACCUUUGUACACACCGCCCGUCAAGCCAUGAAAGGCCGGGGGGGACCUGAAGUCGGCAACCGCAAGGAAGGCCGCCUAGGGUAAAAAACCGGUAAAUUGGGCU